rnacentral:rRNA from 1 species
UACGGAGGAUGCGAGCGUUAUCCGGAUUUAUUGGGUUUAAAGGGUGCGCAGGCGGCACGGCAAGCCGGCGGUAAAAUCGCGGGGCUCAACCCCGCCCAGCCGUCGGAACUGCCGGGCUAGAGUGGGCGAGAAGUGCGCGGAAUGCGUGGUGUAGCGGUGAAAUGCAUAGAUAUCACGCAGAACUCCGAUUGCGAAGGCAGCGCACCGGCGCCCUACUGACGCUCAGGCACGAAAGCGUGGGUAUCGAACAGG